rnacentral:rRNA from 1 species
GAUGAACGCUGGCGGCGUGCCUAACACAUGCAAGUCGAACGAAGCACUUAAGACGGAUCCUUCGGGGGAAGAUUUAAGUGACUGAGUGGCGGACGGGUGAGUAACGCGUGGGCAACCUGCCCUGUACAGGGGGAUAACAGUUGGAAACGGCUGCUAAUACCGCAUAAGCGCACAGUGGGACAUCCCACAGUGUGAAAAACUCCGGUGGUACAGGAUGGGCCCGCGUCUGAUUAGCUAGUUGGUAAGGUAACGGCUUACCAAGGCGACGAUCAGUAGCCGACCUGAGAGGGUGACCGGCCACAUUGGGACUGAGACACGGCCCAA